rnacentral:lncRNA from 1 species
CAACUUAAAAAUGGCCAAGGGAUAAAAACAGACAUUUCUCCAAGAAAGAUGUUCAAAUGACCAAGAAGCACAUGAAAAAAUUCUUGAUAUCAUUAGUCAUCAAACAAUUGCAAAUGAAAACUACCAUGAAGUAGCACUUCACAUACACUAAUAGGGCUAGAAUCAAAAAGCCAGGUAAUGAGUGCUGGCAAGGAUGUGGAGAAACAGAAACCCUCAUACACUGACCCUGCUAGUGUGAAUGUAAAGUGGUACCAUUACUUUGGGAAACAGUCUGGCAGUUGUUCAAAUGAUUAAAUACACAGUUACCAUGUGACCCAGCAAUUCCACUCUCAGGUAUAUACCAAAAUAAGUGAAAACAUAUGUCCACACAGAACCUUGUACAUGAAUGUUCAUAGCAGCAUUAAUCCUAAUAGUCAAAAGGUAGAAGCACUCUAAAUGUUCAACUGGUGGAUGAAUAAACAAAACAUGGCAUAUUCAUACAAUGGAAUAUUAUGCAGCCAUGAAAAGAAAUGGAAUGCUGAUAGUGCUACAACUUGGAUGAACCUUGAAAACGUUAUGCUACAUGAAAGAAGUUAGUUACAAAGGCCACAUAUUGUAUGAUCUCACUCAUGUGAAUAAAGAAACCUAUCGGGCAGAAAAUAGUGAUAUUUUUUAAGAGCCAGGAGGCAUAUAAAUGUUCUCAGGCCACCAUCUUGAACCAAGAGGUAUCAGAACCAAGAAAAGUGUUAAAUGAUAAAGUAACUGUUCCUUGAACACAAGCACUGCCAUACCAGAAAGUCGAUGUGAUCGCAGAAAGGGCGGCUAAGUGACUCACAGGUGAAAAGCUGUUACAGCGUGGAUCUGCUGGACAAAGGGAAGAUUCAUGUCCUGAGAGGGACGGAACCUGACGGCCCAAGAUUUCAUCACACUACUCAGAACUGCAGGCAAGUUAAAACUUACGCAUUGUUUAUUUCUGGAAUUUUCCGUUUAGUAUUUUCGGCACAGGGUUGAUGGCAGGUAACAAACCAUGGAAACUGAAACUGUGGAUAAAGGGUGACUACCGUACCACACUGAUGUGAUGAACAUAUAGUGCGUUCCAAUAUCUGGUAAGUAAGUCCGCUCUCAAUUUUUUUAUCUUCAUAACUUUAUUAUCUUUUCUAAGA